rnacentral:rRNA from 2 species
GGAUGCGAUCAUACCAGCACUAACGCACCGGAUCCCAUCAGAACUCCGAAGUUAAGCGUGCUUGGGCGAGAGUAGUACUAGGAUGGGUGACCCCCUAUUAGGACAGGUGAUGGGGGUGU